GGAGAGGCGGCCCAGGUAGGUCGAGCUGUGCUGGGACUGCCCCUACCUCGACAUCGUCAAUCAACAGGUAAGAAGAACAUGGAGAAAAACAAGACAUUGGUAGAUGUUCUUGUUCGCUCAGACAUCUCAUAGGAAGGACGAAGAAUAGUUAACGAGUCUCGGAAGCCGAAGUUCAACCUCUUUGUCAAGCAGGUGUCCGCCAGCAUUGAGAUGGCAGAGCCACACAUUGAUUGUUUCUUGAACAUGGCUAGGGCAAUGGAUAAAAUCUACUCUAGACAGUUGACAAAGGGAG